GCUCAGGCUUACACAUGCAAGUCCCAGGGGAAACGACAUCGAAAGCUUGCUUUUGAUGGGCGUCGACCGGCGCACGGGUGAGUAACGCGUAUCCAACCUGCCCACCACUUGGGGAUAACCUUGCGAAAGUAAGACUAAUACCCAAUGAUAUCUCUAGAAGACAUCUGAAAGAGAUUAAAGAUUUAUCGGUGAUGGAUGGGGAUGCGUCUGAUUAGCUUGUUGGCGGGGUAACGGCCCACCAAGGCAACGAUCAGUAGGGGUUCUGAGAGGAAGGUCCCCCACAUUGGAACUGAGACACGGUCCAAACUCCUACGGGAGGCAGCAGUGAGGAAUAUUGGUCAAUGGACGANAGUCUGAACCAGCCAAGUAGCGUGCAGGAUGACGGCCCUAUGGGUUGUAAACUGCUUUUAUAAGGGAAUAAAGUGAGACUCGUGACACUUUUUGCAUGUACCUUAUGAAUAAGGACCG
rnacentral:rRNA from 1 species